GACGAACGCUGGCGGCGUGCCUAAUACAUGCAAGUCGAGCGGACGGAUGGGAGCUUGCUCCCAGACCGUCAGCGGCGGACGGGUGAGUAACACGUGGGCAACCUGCCUGUAAGACUGGGAUAACUCCGGGAAACCGGGGCUAAUACCGGAUAACUCUUUCCCUCACAUGAGGGAAAGCUGAAAGAUGGCAUCUCGCUAUCACUUACAGAUGGGCCCGUGGCGCAUUAGCUAGUUGGUGAGGUAACGGCUCACCAAGGCGACGAUGCGUAGCCGACCUGAGAGGGUGAUCGGCCACACUGGGACUGAGACACGGCCCAGACUCCUACGGGAGGCAGCAGUAGGGAAUCUUCCGCAAUGGACGAAAGUCUGACGGAGCAACGCCGCGUGAGUGAUGAAGGUUUUCGGAUCGUAAAACUCUGUUGUCAGGGAAGAACAAGUACCGGAGUAACUGCCGGUACCUUGACGGUACCUGACCAGAAAGCCACGGCUAACUACGUG
rnacentral:rRNA from 1 species